rnacentral:rRNA from 1 species
GACAUAGGUGGCGAACGUUAUCCGGAAUUACUGGGCGUAAAGAGCUCGUAGGUGGUUUGUCGCGUUGUCCGUGAAAACUCACAACUCAAUUGUGGGCGUGCGGGCGAUACGGGCAGACUGGAGUACUGCAGGGGAGACUGGAAUUCCUGGUGUAGCGGUGGAAUGCGCAGAUAUCAGGAGGAACACCGGUGGCGAAGGCGGGUCUCUGGGCAGUAACUGACGCUGAGGAGCGAAAGCGUGGGGAGCGAACAGG